rnacentral:rRNA from 1 species
GACGAACGCUGGCGGCGUGCUUAACACAUGCAAGUCGAACGGAAAGGCCCUGCUUUUGUGGGGUGCUCGAGUGGCGAACGGGUGAGUAACACGUGAGUAACCUGCCCUUGACUUUGGGAUAACUUCAGGAAACUGGGGCUAAUACCGGAUAGGAGCUCCUGCCGCAUGGUGGGGGUUGGAAAGUUUCGGCGGUUGGGGAUGGACUCGCGGCUUAUCAGCUUGUUGGUGGGGUAGUGGCUUACCAAGGCUUUGACGGGUAGCCGGCCUGAGAGGGUGACCGGCCACAUUGGGACUGAGAUACGGCCCAGACUCCUACGGGAGGCAGCAGUGGGGAAUAUUGCACAAUGGGCGGAAGCCUGAUGCAGCAACGCCGCGUGCGGGAUGACGGCCUUCGGGUUGUAAACCGCUUUCGCCUGUGACGAAGCGUGAGUGACGGUAAUGGGUAAAGAAGCACCGGCUAACUACGUGCCAGCAGCCGCGGUGAUACGUAGGGUGCGAGCGUUGUCCGGAUUUAUUGGGCGUAAAGGGCUCGUAGGUGGUUGAUCGCGUCGGAAGUGUAAUCUUGGGGCUUAACCCUGAGCGUGCUUUCGAUACGGGUUGACUUGAGGAAGGUAGGGGAGAAUGGAAUUCCUGGUGGAGCGGUGGAAUGCGCAGAUAUCAGGAGGAACACCAGUGGCGAAGGCGGUUCUCUGGGCCUUUCCUGACGCUGAGGAGCGAAAGCGUGGGGAGCGAACAGGCUUAGAUACCCUGGUAGUCCACGCUGUAAACGGUGGGUACUAGGUGUGGGGUCCAUUCCACGGGUUCCGUGCCGUAGCUAACGCUUUAAGUACCCCGCCUGGGGAGUACGGCCGCAAGGCUAAAACUCAAAGGAAUUGACGGGGCCCCGCACAAGCGGCGGAGCAUGCGGAUUAAUUCGAUGCAACGCGUAGAACCUUACCUGGGUUUGACAUGGAUCGGGAGCGCUCAGAGAUGGGUGUGCCUCUUUUGGGGUCGGUUCACAGGUGGUGCAUGGCUGUCGUCAGCUCGUGUCGUGAGAUGUUGGGUUAAGUCCCGCAACGAGCGCAACCCUUGUUCACUGUUGCCAGCACGUUAUGGUGGGGACUCAGUGGAGACCGCCGGGGUCAACUCGGAGGAAGGUGGGGAUGACGUCAAGUCAUCAUGCCCCUUAUGUCCAGGGCUUCACGCAUGCUACAAUGGCUGGUACAGAGAGUGGCGAGCCUGUGAGGGUGAGCGAAUCUCGGAAAGCCGGUCUCAGUUCGGAUUGGGGUCUGCAACUCGACCUCAUGAAGUCGGAGUCGCUAGUAAUCGCAGAUCAGCAACGCUGCGGUGAAUACGUUCCCGGG